rnacentral:rRNA from 1 species
UACGGGGGGAGCAAGCGUUGUUCGGAUUUACUGGGCGUAAAGGGCGCGUAGGCGGCCUCCGCAAGUCAGUUGUGAAAUCUCCGAGCUUAACUCGGAAAGGUCAACUGAUACUGCGGGGCUAGAGUGCGGAAGGGGCAACUGGAAUUCUUGGUGUAGCGGUGAAAUGCGUAGAUAUCAAGAGGAACACCUGCGGCGAAGGCGGGUUGCUGGGCCGACACUGACGCUGAUGCGCGAAAGCGUGGGUAGCAAACAGG